CGCAGCCGCGGUAAUUCCAGCUCCAAUAGCGUAUAUUAAAGUUGUUGCAGUUAAAAAGCUCGUAGUUGAAUUUCGGGGUUAGUAGGUUGGUCAUGCCUCCGGUAUGUACUGGUCUCACUGAUUCCUCCUUCCUGAUGAAUCGUAAUGCCAUUAAUUUGGUGUUGUGGGGAAUUUGGACUGUUACUUUGAAAAAAUUGAGUGUUUAAAGCAAGCUAACGCUUGAAUACAUUAGCAUGGAAUAAUGAAAUAGGACGUUCGAUCCUAUUUUGUUGGUUUCUAGGAUUGACGUAACGAUUAAUAGGGAUAGUUGGGGGCAUUAGUAUUCAAUUGUCAGAGGUGAAAUUCUUGGAUUUAUUGAAGACUAACUACUGCGAAAGC
rnacentral:rRNA from 1 species